rnacentral:rRNA from 1 species
CAGUCGCCGCGGGAACACAGAGGGUGCAAGCGUUAAUCGGAAUUACUGGGCGUAAAGCGCGCGUAGGUGGUUUGUUAAGUUGGAUGUGAAAGCCCCGGGCUCAACCUGGGAACUGCAUCCAAAACUGGCAAGCUAGAGUACGGUAGAGGGUGGUGGAAUUUCCUGUGUAGCGGUGAAAUGCGUAGAUAUAGGAAGGAACACCAGUGGCGAAGGCGACCACCUGGACUGAUACUGACACUGAGGUGCGAAAGCGUGGGGAGCAUACAGGAUUAGAUACCCCAGUAGUCCCUGUCUCUUAUAC